GGUGUCUUUAGGUCUAAAGUGGGUCUUUUGUAAACAACAUAUACAUGGGUCUUGUUUUCUUAUCCAUUCUGUUACCCUAUGUCUUUUGAUUGGAGCAUUUAGUCCAUUGACAUUUAGAGUGAGUACUGAAAGAUAUGAAUUUAUUGUCAUUAUGUUGCUUGUAGAGUUGGAGUUUCUGGUGGUGUUCUCUGGUCUUUUCUAGUCUUUGUUGCUGUUGGUAUUUAUGUAUGUACAUAUGUAUGUGUGUAUGUAUGUAUGUAUUUUCAUCUUUUCUCCCCUCAGAGAGUCCCCCUUAAAAUUUGUUACAGGGCUGAUUUAGUGGUCACGACCUUUAAUUUUUGUUUGUUUGGGAAACAAUCUCUCCUAUUUUGAAUGACAGCCUAGCUGGAUAAAGAAUUCUUGACUGCAUAUUUUUCUGUUUCAGCACAUUGAAUAUAUCCUGCCACUCCUUUCUGGACUGCCAAGUUUCUGUGGAUAGGUCUGCUGCCAACCUGAUCUGUCUUACCUUGUAGGUUAAGGACUUUCUUUCCCUUGCUGCUUUCAGGAUUCUUUCCUUGCCUGAGUAUUUUGUGAAUUUGACUAUGAUAUGCCUUGUUGAUGGUCAGUUUUUGUUGAAUCUAACGGGAGUCCUCUGUGCUUCCUGGAUUUUGAUGUCUGUGUCUUUCCCCAGAUUAGGAAAGUUUUCCACUAUGAUUGUUCACAUAACCCUUCUACCCCUUUUUCUCUCUCUUCAUCUUCUGGGACACUAUGAUUCUGAUGUUGUUCCUUUUUAAUGAGUCACUGAUUUCUCUAAUUCUUAAAUCCUGCUCUUUUGCCUUAGUCUCCCUCUUUCUUCCUGCUUCAUUAUUCUCCAUAAGUUUAUUCUCUAUAUCACUGAUUCUCUGCUCUGCCUCAUCCAUCCUUGCCUCCAUGGCAUCCAUUGAGAUUGCAGCUCAGUUAUAGCAUUUUUUAUUUCAUCCGGAGUAGGUUUUACUUCUUUCAUAUCUGCAGAAAGGGAUUCUAAUCUAUUUUCGACUCCAGCUAGUAUUCUUAUUAUCGUGAUUCUAAAUUCUGGUUCAGACAUCUUGCUUGUGUCUGUGUUGGUUAAGUCCCUGGCUGUCGCUUCUUCCUGAUCUUUCUUUUGAGGUGAAAUCCUUCGUUUUGUCAUUUUGAAGGGAGAAAAGGAAGUAUUGAGGUUAAAAAAAUUAAAAUUAAACAAUUAAAAUUAAAAAAUUAAAAACAACACACCCACAAAAAAAAUCAAGUCAAUGAUGCUAUAUCCUAGGUGUGUUUGGUCUGGGUGUUGAAAGGGGCUUGAUAGAGAAAAAAGGGGAGAAAAAAGAAAGAAAAAAUCGUUUGAAAAUUCGAAAAAAUGAAUACACUGAAAUAGAAUAUAAUGAAAUGAUGGAAGUAAAAUAGAAUUUGAAAAAAUUUACACAAAAGUAAAAAAUGUAGUAGAAAAAAAUUAAAGAAACAUAUUUUUAAUAAACAUUGAAGGGGUGCCUGGGUGGCUCAGUCAAUUAAGCAUCUGACCUCUGCUCAGGUCAUGAUCUUGCAGUUGGUGAGUUGGAGCCCCACAUCUGGCUCUGUGUUGACAGCUCAGAGCCUGGACCCUGCCUCGGAUUCUAUGUCUUCCUCUCUCUCUCUGCUUCUCCCCUGCUCAUGCUCUGUCUCUGUAUCCAAAAUAAAUUUUUAAAAAAAUUUAAAAAAUUGAAAAUAAAAAUAAUUUUUUCUCUUUCUGUAUUCAAGAAAAAGAAAAGAAACAAAAAAGAGAAAAAAGAAAAGAAAAUUGAAUAGAUGGAUCAGCGAACAGACUGAAAUAAGAUUGAAAUUACUUCGUUUUUCCCUAGAAGUCAAACUAUGAAGCACUUUAUAGUUCAUAAACCAAGUAGGCAGAGAGACUUGUGUUCCUGAAGAGUGAGGUUGGCCCAGUUUGGCGGGGCUUAGUGCAAUGGCUCCAUUAUCCACUAGAUGGCUCUGCUUAGCUUCCUGGGAUGGAUUGUUGUGGCGCUUUUAGGUGUAUGUGCACAUGCGAGGGAGCGGUGAAAAUGGCGUCGUCCAGCUACCCAGUCUCUACUAUCAGAACUCUGUUCCCAGUCAGCAAUCGCGCACCCGUCCUUUGUCUUCAGCUUCCAUCCACUCCCUGCUUUUACACUGUUGUGACCAAGCCCCAGGCAGCACCUCCCUCCUUAGUUUUAUCUCAGAUGCGGCUGUUUUUCCUGACUGCUUACUUCUGAAGGAUUGUGGAUUUGACCCGUUCUGCCCCUCUGCGGGAGGGUGUCAUGGAGCAAUGGCCGGGUGCCAGCCUCACCAAGGAACAUUCGUGGGACUGUACUGAUGCCCAGAGAUUGUGGCUGGGUGCCAGCCCGCCCCAGAAAAACUUCACGCGAUUGUGUAGCAGCAGCAUUUCAGGGAUUAUGGCAAAUCACAACACGCAACUGGCACCAGGCUUCACCCGCAACAACCUUGUUCUAGCACCAGCAAAUGUGGCUGUUCUCCCAGGUCCACUGGUGCCUUUGCCUUUGGGGGACCCACACAGCCUCUACCAGAUGUUCUUCCAGCAGGGGAACUGCCUCUCUCUGUAUGGCUCGAAGACUCCGGGACUUCACUCUGCUCCUGGGGAUUCGCCCUUCUCACCAGAGCACCACUAGGGAAGAGAAUAUAGAGAAAUCUGGCUGAAGUCACCUGAACCAAGUGAUCACGGUUAAUGUUACUGGUUGAUAUGGACUCCCUGGUCUGAUGUUACUGGAACUGCAGUGUCACCUCCGUGGGAUUCUUCCCUCCGACUCAGAACGUCUGUAUAAUCAUGAGAGAACACCAGGCGAGUCUGAAUGGAGAGCUGUGCUACAGGAAAGCUAAUCACUACUCUUCAAAACAAAGUUACAAAAGAGAAGGAAAGACUGAGAAACCAUCACAGGUUGAACCCAAGGAAAGAAACCAAAUGCAGCAAGGUACCGUGGAUUGGACCCUGGAACAGAAACCUGAAUAAAACCCACAGUGUGGUUAAUAGUAUUGUACCAGUGUUAAUUUCUUAUUUUUGAUACAUGUACCAUAAUUAUACAAAUGUUUAUAAAUGGUUGUGUAAAUAUACCAGAGUUAUAUCUAAAGGAAUGAUGGGUGAAAGUUAUAUGGAAACUCUUGAUACUGUAUUUUCUUUUUGUUUUGUUUUUAUAAGUCUAAAGUUCUUUUAAUGUAA